rnacentral:rRNA from 1 species
UAAGUGAUGGCGACCGGCGCACGGGUGAGUAACACGUAUCCAACCUGCCGAUAACUCGGGGAUAGCCUUUCGAAAGAAAGAUUAAUACCCGAUGGUAUAAUAAAGCCGCAUGGUUUAAUUAUUAAAGAAUUUCGGUUAUCGAUGGGGAUGCGUUCCAUUAGGCAGUUGGUGAGGUAACGGCUCACCAAACCUUCGAUGGAUAGGGGUUCUGAGAAGAAGGUCCCCCACAUUGGAACUGAGACACGGUCCAA